rnacentral:lncRNA from 1 species
AGUCCCUUUGCAACAAGGGUGAGGAUAGCUUUGGAAGAGAAGGGAAUAGAAUAUAAAUCUAAGGUAGAGGACUUGAGCAACAAGAGCUCUACUCUUCUCAAGAUGAACCCAGUUCAUCAGCAAAUCCCUGUCUUAAUCCAUAAUGGGAGACCCAUCUGUGAGUCAAUGAUCAUAGUUCAAUAUAUUGAUGAGGUUUGGAGCCAUAAACCUUCAUUGUUGCCUUCUGAUCCUUAUCGACGAGCACAUGCCAGGUUUUGGGCUGACUACAUCGACAAGAAGGUAAGUUCUUAGAACUGAUUAAAUAUCUUUUUCUCUGUCUUCCUGUGUUUACUUUUUGAAAGGAAACAUUAAUGAAGUAUUGACAUGCAAAUUGGUUUCGUCCAGAUGUAUCCUACUGGAAAGAAUCUAUGGACAUCUAAAGUUGAAGUCAGGGAAUCAUCGAAGAAGGACUUGAUUCAGUGCUUUAAAAUCUUGGAAGAAGAACUCGGAGACAAGCUAUAUUUUGGGGAUGAGAGCUUCGGCUAUAUAGACUUGGCAUUUAUUUCGUUCUACAACCUCUUUUACACCUUUGAGACCCUAGGAAACUGGAGCAUGGCAGCCGAGUUCCCUAAGCUCGUGGAGUGGGGCGAGAGAUGCUUGCGAAAGGAGAGCGUGUCCAAGUCUACAAGUGACCAAAAGGAGGUUUAUGAAGUUGUUUUGCAGAUCAAACAGAAACUGGGGAUUGAAUAAAUAUAUAGUAUUGCAAAUGGAGAGUGUAUCCAAGUCCAUUCUAUUGUGGCAUUUUAUGUUUUCUUAACUUGUUCUGGAACAGUGUUCGGUUGGUUAGUUCAGCCUGAUAAUAAUAAAGGGUUCUUGGAUAUUAAACUCGGAUCUUCUAAGCAGGGAAAAUUAUUUUAAGAUCGUGUUUGACUAAUAUACCAUGAGAAUAAAAUAUGGUGUUUUUUUUUUUAAAUGAAUUUUUAGUCAACUAAAUGUUGUCUUAGUAUAAAUAGACUUAGCACAACUACAUGGGCUAGGCUUUCUGACCCAAAGACCCAAACCCACAAACAUGAUCCAAAACUAGAAAAGAAAUAAUGAAGAUCAAAAGAGGAGUAAACAUUUAAAUUUACACAAGAACAUGAUGAACGCUCGGAUCAAACCCAAAAGCUAAGAUUCAAUAUCAGCCAUAUUACAUCAAAUCGAAGACACAUAAACAUGUACAAUCAAAAGUAUAGCAAGAUUUUGGGGCUGGAUUAUCACAACAAACAACCUAAAGUCAUGACUAUUUGAUUUUAUGCAAAAUAUAAAAUGAAAAACUAAAGAUCAAAUGUCACGAUUUAAGUAUUUUUAAACCCACAAGGUCCUAAAUUAAUGAUCAAUAAGAUAAAAUACAUGUGCAAGAGCCAACAAUUGAUCAAAAAGAUAUGCAAAACAUGGACCCAAGACCAUCUUCAAUGGACAAAUGUGAAAACCAUAAAGCAUAAGAGCCCAAAAAAUGCUCGGUAGAGGCUUUAAAACCAAAAAAUUCGUAAAACCCAAAAACAACAACUAAAACUUAAACACGCUCAACACAAUUUGCUUGAACCAUUAAAACAACAAGAAACAAUGAAUGAGGAGCAAAACAGUUAGUAAAAUACAUAAUGACAACAAGAAAAAAUAACAUUUUCUAUGCAUAAACACUCUUCUAUUGAUUAAAAUUAUUAUCUUGAAGUUUAAAUAAAAUGCCUACAAUUUCAACAAACCCAGUAAGCUAUUAUAAAACAAUUUAAUCCACAACAACAUCGAAACUUAACCUAGCUUGUCAUGGUUUUACAAAUGAUUAACCAAAUAUUUAAAUAUGUAAAACAACAUUAUACAUUAUCAUAUACCAUACCAUAAUCACAUUCUAACAUAUUAAACAAAGCAAUCCAACAAAACUUGAAUAAUACAAACUAUUUUUAAAGCAUGCUUAAACAUCUCAAAACAAAUAUUUAAUAGUUUUAAAAACUAGCAAAUGACUUCAAAUGAUGCUUAACAAUCAUUUUGAGCAACAGUUUAAAAGGGCAAAACAGAAAAGGAAAGGGGUCUGCUCAUUGAGCUCCACCCCUCAUCAGAGUUUGAAAGUUUAUCUUGUAAAGAGAAUGUGACUUUCUCCUUUGAAUUCUUUAAUUCUUUCUUCUGGAAUUUCAACUUUUUUUCGAUUUAGAUUCCACCUUUUCUUUCUCAACAAAUAAAUCUUUAUAACUUUCUUUUCAAUUAUAUUCUAAGUAUCCUCUUAAUUUUUAUGUAUUUAUUUUCUUUUUUCUCUAUGAUUUGCUCUCAGAUUCCUACCUUGUUUUCUGUAUGAUUUGUUCUCCUCUUAUAGCCCUAAAAUGGUAGGUGGUUGUGAAACCACUUAUAGGUUUGAAGAUGGUUUUUCAAAACUAAAUCAUAAGGGGUUCAUUCCUCAUAUAUGUUAGGAAGCCAUUCUUCUCUCUUCUUUUUUGUUGUCUUUUUUCCCCGUCACUUUCUUCUUCCCUUUUAUUUUAUUUUAUUUUGCUUUUCGUUUCAUAUUUGUGGAAUAAAUACAGGUUCGUCCUUUAAUUUUUCAAUUCUUCUCAAAUUAGGAUUCUACUUGGAUGGCAUUUCCUGCAGCCACGUAAUGAAAUGAAGGUUUGGUGGAUUAUUGAUGUUAUAAAAUAGCUUAUACACUAGGAAAGGGAGCUUUAUUUGAAAAAGUAAGAUAUUUUGUUAUAUUUUACAUUAAAUCAAUAAAAUACAACAAAAUCUCUUACUUUUUAGAUUAUAUACUUGACAUUAUGUGAAAUAUAGAUAUUUUUAAAAAGAUUAAUUAAUUAUAUAGGACACCUCUUGUUAAGUCAUUCAAUUAAUUUAUUAGAAGGGUGUCUUUCAUUAAAUUGUUAAUUUCCUUCUUUUUUGUUGUUAAUUAUUUCAAAAUAUAAUAUAUAAUCCGGUAAUUCCAUAAAGUUUUAACAAUUUACAAACAAAUACAAUCUUACAAAAUCUAAAACAAACCACAACAAGUAUAAAAUUAUAUAUUCAUAUACUAGCUACAAGUUUUUUUGAGAAAUAACAAUAAAACAUGUACAUCUACUAACAAAAAUACAUAUACUAAAAAAACAAUAAAAUUGACAUUUAAAUGUUAAAAUUUAAAAAGAUAGAAUUACUUACAAAAAUUGAUAAAAUCCGUCGGUAAAUCAGAACAUGGAUGCUGUGACCACAAAACUUUAAGAAAUACAACUUGUUAUGCUGAGAUGAGGAAGAUUUUUGUUUGGGGGCGAGGGGGGGCUGGUUAUUUGCAGAUGGGGAGACUUAGGAUUAGGAAUAAGAAGGAGAAAUGGGGGAGGAGAGUGUCGGCAGAGCGGCCAUAUAUUCACUUUUACCGACGGCCUCACCGACGGAAUAACAUCGUCGGUGACUACGUCGGUGCAUCUGUCGGUAAUUAUAACGGUAAAUAGACACGUCACCGUACGGACCUGCUUUUCAAAUCCCUCGGUGAUUCCGUCGGUAUUGUUGACGGUGAACCGGUCCGAACACACGUACGGGUCCCUGGUUUUUAAUCCGUCGGUGAUUCUGUUGGAAAAAUCACCCGCCAAAACCUCCACGCCAGCUACCCGCCCUUUUUUCAUUAAUUCUGAACUUUUCGUCCGUAAUUCGGUCGGUAAUUACCAACGGAAUAUAACUGUCGGUAAUUACCGACCGAAUUACGGACGGAAAUAUGUCGUCAGUGAUUUCGACCGCAAAAUACCGACAGAAAUAUUCUGUCGGUGAUUCCGUUGGUAUUUAGCGAAUUUCUAGUAGUGGUCAUUUUCUUCUUCCUUUUUAUUUUAUUUUGCUUUUCUUUUUCUUUUUCAAAAUUUUUUUCUCUUCCUAGUUGGGUCCUUUAAUUUUUCAAUUCUUCUCAAAUUAGGAUUCUAGGUGGAUGGCAUUUCCUGCAGCCACAUAAAUGAAAUGAAGGUUUGGUGGGUUAUCGAUGUUAUAAAAUAGCUUAUACACUAGGAAAGGGAGCUUUAUUUAAAAAAGUAAGAGAUUUUGUUAUAUUUUACAUUAAAUCAAUAAAAUAUAUGAUAUAUAUAAUAGCACAAAAUCUGUUACUUUUUAGAUUAUAUAUAUGAUAGCAGUAUGAUAUUAUGUGAAAUAGAUAUUUUUUAAAUGAUUAAUUAAUUAUAUAGGACAACUCUUGUAUAUUAGUAUGGAAAGAUAUUAUUUUUUUAUUAUAAAUAUCAAUUUUUGAUACCGGCAGAAAUUAUUAAGAAAACAAUUUUCUUCUCUUCCAACAUGCAUGGCGGCCACGCUUUAUACAGGCCAAUAGAAAUUAUGAAGAUGCAGAUGAAUUUAGACUAUAUCAGCGAGGGAUCAAAUUUAUUUUCAAGCGGGUCUCCGGAGUAAGAUAUUCUUGUUGAUGUGCGCACGUGUGCCACAUAAGUUGCCAUUCCUCCAUUGAUAGUUAAUUUUAGAAUAUUUAUAAUUAUUAAAUCUAUAAUAUUCAGGAUUAUUAACCAUGUAACUAAAUAUUAUUUAAUUACUAUAUAUGAAAUAAAUUUGAUCUGCAAGAUUUAUAAUAUUCAAGAUUAUUCCUUGUUGAAAUCUAACAAGGAGCCCCUGCUUUAAUAUUUAUCCUGCCCUCAGCGAUUAAACAAAGGCGAAAGAAAAUCUUGGCAUUGUUCUCCAAGAUUUUGAGAUUCUCUCUUGUGAUGACUUAGUCUAAUUCACUUUGAUAUUUUUACAAGAAGAAUAUUUAUAACAUUUUGUUGACAAAAUGUUGCGAGUAGGUGGCCGAGGAAAAUCCCAACCUGUCAAAACUAAUGCUGACCAUUCUGAUGCAAGCAAUGACAACAAAAGCGAAGCACAAGAGAAACUGAUAACUCCACAAAGGUCUCAUGUUCUGCUAUAAAUUCUAGUUUUCGCCUCAGUUCCACAUUGCAAAUUGAAGAAGGAAACAAAUUACUGAGAAAAAUCUUGAUUCUCUUUGUGCAAGAAAUGGCUAAUGAAGUGGUUCUACUGGAUUUGAAGCUUAGUCCUUAUGCAGCAAGGGUGAGGAUAGCUUUGGAAGAGAAGGGAAUAGAAUAUAAAUCUAAGGUAGAUGACUUUAACAACAAGAGCUCUACUCUUCUCAAGAUGAACCCAGUUCAUCAGAAAAUCCCUGUCUUAAUCCAUAAUGGGAGACCCAUUUGUGAGUCAAUGAUCAUAGUUCAAUAUAUUGAUGAAGCUUGGAGCCAUAAACCUUCAUUGUUGCCUUCUGAUCCUUAUCGACGUGCACAUGCCAGGUUUUGGGCUGACUACAUCGACAAGAAG